CUGGCACGGUUAGUUUCUCAAGGUUAGGUUUCAAGGCUUUUAGUAAAUACACAUUUUAUCAAAGCUAUUUCUUGCUGACAUGCAAAUUCUAUGUUCUAUAGACAAAGCUUCCUUGUAAAACUAUGGGGGCCUCUUAGAGGUAUAGCAAGAGGAUUUAAAGGGGCCUUACAAAUUUAUAGAGGCCUAAUAAUUCUACAACAGUCCCCCCUAAAAUGUUAUUUGCUAAAAGACAAAACUUUAUUUGUUAGUAUCAGAAGAAGUAUUAGCCCAAAGACACAGAAACCCCAUGACCGCUGACUUAGUGUUAAUGCAAAGUGCAAGUCUAUCCCUCUCUUGACCCUAACAGGCUGCAGCACAUCCGUCAGUACGGUUCAGGAACACUCUUCACUCCGCUGGUAACCCAUAGUGGCUUAUCCACUACUUCUCCGUACGGCAGUCUACCCAUAAAGACGGACGCUGUCCCUGUACUGUUCCUAGACUUUCUGCACUUCAUCAGUAUAAGGGAGAGUUUGUAGCGGAAUACAGGGUGAGAUGAGGUCUUGAUCAUCGAUUGUCAGAUGAGUGAAGGUUGGUGUUGCUUGGUCUACAGUUUUCUGCAGGAAUUUCCUUAGGCAUGGGAGGACACAACAAAUGAGAAGAGCGAGAAUAAAAAAGAAAAAUUAGUAAGGCAAUACCAAUCUGGACUAAAGCUCUCUGCCAACCAGUCAUCCAACCAAACCAUUUUUCCCAGGGAUCAGUAACUCCAGAGUUUCUCUUUAACUCUUCUGAGAGUCUAUUUAAUUUAGCUAUGGCCAGAGUGACUUUACCAUUAGGACCUGUGUUUUCUGGAAUGUAAGUGCAACAAGUCAUAGUGUCGGGAAGUAUUUUACAGACUCCCCCUUUUUCGGCUAAGAUCAUGUCUAAGGCCAGUCUGUUCUGGAAGGUCAUUUGGGAUGUGG